UACGUCCCUGCCCUUUGUACACACCGCCCGUCGCUACUACCGAUUGAAUGGCUCAGUGAGGCCUCCGGACUGGCUCGAAGAGGUUGGCAACGACCACUUCGAGCCGGAAAGUUCGUCAAACUCGGUCAUUUAGAGGAAGUAAAAGUCGUAACAAGGUUUCCGUAGGUGAACCUGCGGAAGGAUCAUUACCUAGAGUUGUAGGCUUUGCCUACCAUCUCUUACCCAUGUCUUUUGAGUACCUUCGUUUCCUCGGCGGGUCCGCCCGCCGAUUGGACAAACUUAAACCCUUUGUAAUUGAAAUCAGCGUCUGAAAAAACAUAAUAGUUACAACUUUCAACAACGGAUCUCUUGGUUCUGGCAUCGAUGAAGAACGCAGCGAAAUGCGAUAAGUAGUGUGAAUUGCAGAAUUCAGUGAAUCAUCGAAUCUUUGAACGCACAUUGCGCCCCUUGGUAUUCCAUGGGGCAUGCCUGUUCGAGCGUCAUUUGUACCUUCAAGCUCUGCUUGGUGUUGGGUGUUUGUCUCGCCUUUGCGUGUAGACUCGCCUUAAAACAAUUGGCAGCCGGCGUAUUGAUUUCGGAGCGCAGUACAUCUCGCGCUUUGCACUCAUAACGACGACGUCCAAAAAGUACUUUUUACACUCUUGACCUCGGAUCAGGUAGGGAUACCCGCUGAACUUAAGCAUAUCAAUAAGCGGAGGAAAAGAAACCAACAGGGAUUGCCCUAGUAACGGCGAGUGAAGCGGCAACAGCUCAAAUUUGAAAUCUGGCGUCUUUGGCGUCCGAGCUGUAAUUUGCAGAGGGCGCUUUGGCAUUGGCAGCGGUCCAAGUUCCUUGGAACAGGACGUCA
rnacentral:rRNA from 1 species